rnacentral:rRNA from 1 species
GACAGAGGAUGCAGGCGUUAUCCGGAAUGAUUGGGCGUAAAGCGUCUGUAGGUGGCUUUUUAAGUCCGCCGUCAAAUCCCAGGGCUCAACCCUGGACAGGCGGUGGAAACUACCAAGCUGGAGUACGGUAGGGGCAGAGGGAAUUUCCGGUGGAGCGGUGGAAUGCGUAGAGAUCCGGAAGAACACCGGUGGCGAAGGCGGCCUGCUGGGCAGUUGCUGACACUGAGGCGCGACAGCGUGGGGAGCAACAGG